CGCCGCCGCCAAGUCCUCCGCCGGCGUCGUCGGCCGACGUCGCCGCCGCCAACUGCCGCAACCACCCGUCGCCGCCGUUGCCAACUGCCGUCACCAGCUGUCGCAAGUCGACCGCCGUCGCCGACCACCACAGCCGACCACCCUCUAGAUCCGGUCGAGAGGCGCGGAUCUGGGGAGGCACCGCCGUCAUCGCCGCCGAGCACCGCGCCGUCGCCGCACAGGGACCAAUGCCGCUGUCUUCGCGCCGUGCCGGCCUCAAGCCGCGUCUCUCACGCGGGUCCCGCCGCCAACGCUGCGCCCACACAGCCGCCGGUCUCUUUCUUCCCCGCCUCCACACCCGGCUGCACACUGUCGUCGGCAUGCUGGCCAGUCGCCGCCUCGACGGAGGGGAUCCGGCCUCCCACGCCGGAGAGGACAGAUCCGGACUGGGGGGCGCCGGAUCCAGCGAGGAGGUUGCCAGAUCCGGUGACGUCGCGCGCCGCUGGACCCGCCCUGUCCCUGCUGCCAGCUCCACCCCCGUCCUGUCGCCACCGUCGCCAGCGCCUCCUCCGCCCCGUCGGCCGCCGCCAGCGCCGCCUCGUCCGCCCCGUCGCCGCCGCCGCCUCGUCCGCCCCGUCGCCGCCACCUUCUCUGCCCCGCCGCCGUCGCCUCCCCAGCCCCGGAUCUGGCCGCCUCCGCCGCCACGGGCGCCGGGAUGCCCCGCCGCCGCCGUCCUUGCGCCCGGCCGGCUUUCCGGUGGGCCACUCGGGCGGCGGCGAGGCGAAGGGGAGGGGGAAGGCGCGGCGGCGGCCGGCGCGUGUGGGGGCGCUCGCAUCGCCCCUGGGGCUGGAGCGACGCGAGCCUAGAUCAAGUUUUCAGCAGGUCAAAGUCGAUGGCCCGAACCUGGUUUUCAAAAAACAGCCAAUGGGCGAAGAAUAAAACGGGCGCCCACGUUUCUCUCCUACCGUUUCGGAUGCGUGGAGCCAAAGCGAAGCUAGCGUGGUGGCAACUGUAGCACUGGACCCCGUCUCAUGGUAAAUUUUUCUUCGCCAUCACCUGUUGCUGUUGCUGUUGCCACCCCCAACGAGUCUAUCAGGACACAGGAGAGGUAUCAGGAGGUAUGGCCUUUGCUACUUCUGCUAAUCUGAUGAUGUCGGUAUUGCAUUGCAUAUGAUACAGAAGUGAAGUGUGCUGUUUGUAGCAUUGCGUCAUGCAGAAUGGGGGCGUAACAGAACAUGGGAACAUACCCAUUACACGUGUGCGCGACACCCUCAAAGACGGGGUGGUUCGUUGCACGGGUAAAAUAUCUGUAUCUUCCCUGCAAGUGAUGUACGGUUUGUUGUGUGGCAUCCACGGUAAGUAAAGUAAAAUGGCUCGGCAAAAAUCAGAAAAUGACGUGGUAUGGGCACGGACACACACCCCAAAGAAAAAUCACGAUAAAAAGGGCGUGCUGUUCA
rnacentral:lncRNA from 1 species